AUCGAAGCGCAUAAGGAGCUUCACAUGCUUGUAUCUCUCUCCCCUCUUAUUGUACAAUGGCACUGCUCGGAUUCCUGAUUGGAGCUCUUUCACCGGCAAACAUGUCUGCCCCGCGAAGUCAUCUUUUCCAGAGGUACCCACUGGUUUUCAAUGGGGAUGGUUUUUCUCGUCGCUCUAUCCUUUCCAACCCCGACCAUUCUGAUCUGUAACCGCAAUCAAACUUUCAUAUUCUGGAAUAUCGAUUUCUUCAUCUUUAUCCAACUCCUCCAUAUACCCCUGAAAAGGCAGAAUGAGAACUGCAUCAAGAAUUCUACAUCAUGUUCACUUGUGGAAAGCAAUUUCAGAAGUUGAGGAGAUUAUGGAAGUGUGAAUCUUUCAGAGCUUGCACUCUCAUCUGCUGGUGGUUUUUCCCUGGUGGUACGCUCUGGUGGUUUGGUAGAAAUCAGAAUCUUUCCCUUAAGUAACUCCGGCGAUGGAAAUUCAUUCAAGUAUUCUCCAGGUUCAGGAACAUAGAGGAUGCUCCCAAAUGUUGACUUAAGCAUCUACACUUUAUUACAGAGGUAAAAGAAGAAUUCAUGGUACUUAGAAAAUAAUGGUAGUCUUUGGACAGUUUGUGACUAUUCUAAUACUAAUUUUUGGUCCAAUUACAUAUUUAGACCUUCAAACUUUGAGAUGGGUGUCUUGUCAUUUUU